AGAGGUGAACUUAUAAAAAUAAUAAAAAUAUAUUAAAAAAAUACAAAAAAUUGCAACUCAUCGGUCAAGUUACAAUCAUUUAGUCACUCAAACCAAAAUCUAAUAUAAAUAAGUUACUAUAUGACCAAAUCCAAUUGACCAUGUAGUUUAUUUCUUAAAAGGAACAGACUUCCCUUUCCACCUAAAGCAGGGGUAAUUCCGUCCACAAAAAAACAGCUGUAUGGACAAUGUGUCCCAACCACAGAAUGUGUCUCUAAAGGUAAGAGAAAGACGUAAUGUGUCUCUGUAUGUAAAUGUCUCAAAUAUGAAUCUAGAUAAGCUUUUGGUUGAAGUGGGGUUGUAAACGAUAUUGUAUUUCCAUUGUCGGAUUAAUAUUAUAUAUUUAGUUAAAAAAAGUGUCAGCCUACUUCAUUUUUUUUCCUUGGGCAUAAGUGAAUGUCGCACUCAAAUAGUGUUUAAAAAAAAAAAAAAAUCUACUUCAGAAUCUAUGUAUUUGGUUUUGGAGCUCUCAAUUAGGAUUCUAUGUUUUGGUUUUAAGGAUCGAGCCCAUUUAAACCAUUGGUCGGGUUUUAGGCUUUCUUGGGUUAGUCCUAUUGUGUGUGUCUUUUAAAUUCAUUAGUCUUAGGCUAAACGAACCAUGACAAAAUUAUUCGAGCCUUUCCAGAUUCGGGCUGUAUGUAGACGGAAUGGCUCGA
rnacentral:lncRNA from 1 species